rnacentral:rRNA from 1 species
AAUAUUGCACAAUGGGGGAAACCCUGAUGCAGCGACGCCGCGUGAGUGAAUAAGUAUUUCUGUAUGUAAAGCUCUAUCAGCAGGUAAGAAAAUGACGGUACCUUACCAACAAGCCCCUGCUAACUACGUUCCUGCCUCCACGGUAAUACGUAGGGGGCAAGCGUUAUCCGGAUUUACUGGGUGUAAAGGGAGCGUAGGUGGUUCGGCAAGUCAGAUGUGAAAGCCCGGGGCUCAACCCCGGGACUGCAUUUGAAACUGUCGUACUAGAGUGCAGGAGAGGUAAGUGGAAUUCCUAGUGUAGCGGUGAAAUGCGUAGAUAUUAGGAGGAACACCAGUGGCGAAGGCGGCUUACUGGACUGUAACUGACACUGAGGCUCGAAAGCGUGGGGAGUAAACAGG